UACGUAGGGUGCAAGCGUUGUCCGGAAUUAUUGGGCGUAAAGAGCUCGUAGGCGGUUCGUCGCGUCGGCUGUGAAAACCCGGAGCUCAACUCCGGGCCUGCAGUCGAUACGGGGCGGACUGGAGUUCGGCAGGGGAGACUGGAAUUCCUGGUGUAGCGGUGAAAUGCGCAGAUAUCAGGAGGAACACCGGUGGCGAAGGCGGCUCUCUGGACCAUUGCUGACGCUGAGACACGAAAGCGUGGGUAGCAAACAGG
rnacentral:rRNA from 1 species